ACCCAUCGCCGCCGCCUCCGAACCCCUUCCAGAUCCCCAGACCCCCUCCACUGCCGUCUCCGCUGCAGAAUUCUUCAACAACCAGAUCCAGCGGCUGAGGCAGUAUCUUGAAGUUCGAUACGAUGGCCGGCACCAAUUGGAGCAGCAAUCUUGUUAAUCUUUGAGACCCAUUGCGGCGUUUGUUCUUCCUCGCACAUAGAAUUGGAUUGUGGGUCUGGAUUUGAUGAUAGAGUGAGAGUGGAAUGGUAAAAAUUGGAGAUUUUGGAGCAAAGAGAUUGCUUGGAAGCGAAGUUUUGGUUUUAACAAAUGGGUAGGAGAAGCAAAGAGAUUGCUUGGAGAGGACCGGUUGAAAUUGGAAGUGAAGGAUCUGCUGCAUUUCUACUCCCUGCUCUCUGAUCUCAAAGAUGGAGAGGAAGAAGAAAAGAUGACCGUUCAUUUUGCGUUGGACGGAAGUUGUUACUCGCAAACAGUCUUGCCCGCUGGAUUGUAUAAAGUGUCCUCUUUGCAAGACGGAAAAUGUCUGCAUAAUGUAUGAUUACGAGGGAUGUUCUUUUCAAAAGCAUUGCACUGAUCAGAAUUCAG
rnacentral:sRNA from 1 species